rnacentral:rRNA from 1 species
CCUACGGGUGGCAGCAGUGAGGAAUAUUGGUCAAUGGACGAGAGUCUGAACCAGCCAAGUCGCGUGAAGGAUGACUGCCCUAUGGGUUGUAAACUUCUUUUAUAUGGGAAUAAAAUGUUCCACGUGUGGGAUUUUGUAUGUACCAUAUGAAUAAGGAUCGGCUAACUCCGUGCCAGCAGCCGCGGUAAUACGGAGGAUCCGAGCGUUAUCCGGAUUUAUUGGGUUUAAAGGGAGCGUAGGUGGAUUGUUAAGUCAGUUGUGAAAGUUUGCGGCUCAACCAUAAGAUUGCAGUUGAAACUGGCAGUCUUGAGUGCAGUAGAGGUGGGCGGAAUUCGUGGUGUAGCGGUGAAAUGCUUAGAUAUCACGAAGAACUCCGAUUGCGAAGGCAGUUCACUGGACUGCAACUGACGCUGAGGCUCGAAAGUGUGGGUAUCAAACAGGAUUAGAUACCCUAGUAGUC